UACGACCAUAUCACGUUGAAACACCAGUACCCGCACGAUUAUCAAAGUUAAGCAACGUCGAGCCUGUUAAGUAACUAGAUGGGUGAUCUCUUGAGAAUACCAGGUUCUGUAAG